rnacentral:rRNA from 1 species
AAGACUAACAGGAUUCCCCUAGUAACUGCGAGUGAAGAGGGAAAAGCUCAAAUUUAAAAUCUGGCAGUCUUUGAUUGUCCGAGUUGUAAUUUAGAGAAGUGUUACCCGUGCUGGACCGUGUACAAGUCUCCUGGAAUGGAGCGUCAUAGAGGGUGAGAAUCCCGUCUUUGACACGGACUCCCAGUGCAUUGUGGUAUGCUCUCAAAGAGUCGAGUUGUUUGGGAAUGCAGCUCUAAAUGGGUGGUAAAUUCCAUCUAAAGCUAAAUAUUGGCGAGAGACCGAUAGCGAACAAGUACCGUGAGGGAAAGAUGAAAAGAACUUUGGAAAGAGAGUUAAACAGUACGUGAAAUUGCUGAAAGGGAAACGCUUGAAGUCAGUCGCGUUGGCUAGGGAUCAACCUUGCUUUAGUGGGGUGUACUUCCUAGUUGACGGGUCAGCAUCAGUUUUGACCACUGGAAAAAGGCUUUGGGAAUGUGGCAACUCCGGUUGUGUUAUAGCCCAUUGUCGUAUACAGUGGUUGGGACUGAGGAACUCAGCACGCCGCAAGGCCGGGAUUCGUCCACGUUCGUGCUUAGGAUGCUGGCAUAAUGGCUUUAAGCGACCCGUCUUGAAACACGGACCAAGGAGUCUAACAUGCUUGCGAGUGUUUGGGUGGUAAACCCGAGCGCGUAAUGAAAGUGAAAGUUGGGAUCUCUGUCGUGGAGAGCACCGACGCCCGGACCUGAUGUUUACUGACGGUUCUGCGGUAGAGCACGUAUGUUGGGACCCGAAAGAUGGUGAACUAUGCCUGAAUAGGGUGAAGCCAGAGGAAACUCUGGUGGAGGCUCGUAGCGAUUCUGACGUGCAAAUCGAUCGUCAAAUUUGGGUAUAGGGGCGAAAGACUAAUCGAACCAUCUAGUAGCUGGUUCCUGCCGAAUU